rnacentral:rRNA from 1 species
AAUAAACGCUGGCGGCGUGCCUUAUGCAUGCAAGUCGAACGAGACCAAGGCUUCGGCCUGAAGUCUAGUGGCGCACGGGUGAGUAACACGUACGUGACCUGUCCCGACGUGGGGGAUAACCAGCCGAAAGGUUGGCUAAUACCGCAUGUGGACACCCCUUGGAAGGGGAUGUCGAAAGUAGCAAUACGCGUUGGGAGGGGCGUGCGGCCGAUUAGCUAGUUGGUGUGGUAACGGCACACCAAGGCGAUGAUCGGUAGCUGGUCUGAGAGGAUGGGCAGCCACACUGGGACUGAGACACGGCCCAGACUCCUACGGGAGUCAGCAGUAGGGAAUCUUCCGCAAUGGACGAAAGUCUGACGGAGCAACGCCGCGUGAGUGAAGAAGGUUUUCGGAUCGUAAAACUCUGUUGUUAGGGAAGAACAAGUACCAUAGUAACUGAUGGUACCUUGACGGUACCUAACCAGAAAGCCACGGCUAACUACGUGCCAGCAGCCGCCGUAAAAC